rnacentral:rRNA from 1 species
UACAGAGGGGGCAAGCGUUGUUCGGAAUUAUUGGGCGUAAAGAGCGUGUAGGCGGUUUGGUAGGUCCGCUGUGAAAACUCGAGGCUCAACCUCGAGACGCCGGUGGAAACCAUCAGGCUAGAGUCCGGAAGAGGAGAGUGGAAUUCCUGGUGUAGCGGUGAAAUGCGCAGAUAUCAGGAGGAACACCGGUGGCGAAGGCGGGUCUCUGGGCCGAUACUGACGCUGAGGAGCGAAAGCGUGGGGAGCGAACAGG